rnacentral:rRNA from 1 species
UACCUGCAGCUCAAGUGGUGGCCGCUAUUAUUGGGCCUAAAACGUUCGUAGCCGGUUUGGUAAAUGCCUGGGUAAAUCGUGUAGCUUAACUAUACGAAUUCCGGGUAGACUGCUAAACUUGAGACCGGGAGAAGCUAGAGGUACUCCUGGGGUAGAGGUGAAAUUCUGUAAUCCUGGGGGGACCACCAGUGGCGAAGGCGUCUAGCUAGAACGGGUUUGACGGUGAGGAACGAAGCCCUGGGGCGCAAACCGGAUUAGAUACCCGGGUAGUCCAGGGUGUAAACGCUGCUUGCUUGAUGUUAGUUGGGCUCCGAGCCCAAUUAGUGUCGGAGAGAAGUUGUUAAGCAAGCUGCCUGGGAAGUACGGCCGCAAGACUGAAACUUAAAGGAAUUGGCGGGGAGCACAGCAACGGGUGGAGCGUGCGGUUU